rnacentral:misc_RNA from 1 species
GCCGCAUCGUCCGAAAACUGCGGCGACUUUGACAACCGGCGUUACAUCGUCCUGAAUUUCUGGGCUAAGCUUUUCCGCAAUACCGUGGCUUGCUGAAGAGAAGGAAGCAAUCUUGACCAGCCCGCUCGCCUUAAAGAUCGCUCGCGAAUACGGAACACCGGCUCUCGUCGUCGAUAUGGACCGCGUGGAGCGCAACAUCGCGCGCGUUC